rnacentral:rRNA from 1 species
AAUAGAUACCCGGGUAGUCCACGCCGUAAACGGUGGGCACUAGGUGUGGGCGACAUUCCACGUCGUCCGUGCCGCAGCUAACGCAUUAAGUGCCCCGCCUGGGGAGUACGGCCGCAAGGCUAAAACUCAAAGGAAUUGACGGGGGCCCGCACAAGCGGCGGAGCAUGUGGCUUAAUUCGACGCAACGCGAAGAACCUUACCAAGGCUUGACAUACACCGGAAACGUCCAGAGAUGGGCGCCCCCUUGUGGUCGGUGUACAGGUGGUGCAUGGCUGCCGUCAGCUCGUGUCGUGAGAUGUUGGGUUAAGUCCCGCAACGAGCGCAACCCUUGUCCCGUGUUGCCAGCAGGCCCUUGUGGUGCUGGGGACUCACGGGGAGACCGCCGGGGUCAACUCGGAGGAAGGUGGGGACGACGUCAAGUCAUCAUGCCCCUUAUGUCUUGGGCUGCACACGUGCUACAAUGGCCGGUACAAUGAGCUGCGAUACCGCGAGGUGGAGCGAAUCUCAAAAAGCCGGUCUCAGUUCGGAUUGGGGUCUGCGAACUCCG